GUGCUCGCUCCGGCAGCACAUGUACUAAAAUUGGAACCCUACAGAGAAGGUUAGCAUGGCCCCCGUGCAGGGAUGACACGCAAAUUCGUGAAGCGUUGCACAUUUUU
rnacentral:snRNA from 1 species